GAAUAUGAAUGAUGUUUAUCAUGAUUUUACUAUGAGUGGUGCAUGGCCGUUAACAAUACGUGAUGUGAAUUUUGAAUUUGAAUGAGUUAUAUAUGAAAGUAUAUAAUUCUGUAUUAGUGUUAAAUCCACCAAUGUGUGAGACCCAUAUACUAAUUUUGAGUUAGUAGACAGAUGAUGUAAAUCAUAGGAAGGGAUGGGCGAUAACAGGUCAGUGAUGCCCUUAAAUGAAAUGGGCGACACGCGCACUACAAUAGAAUGAUAUAUUAUUCUAAGGAGUUGGGAUUAUUAAUAUGUAAAUUUAAUAUGAACAAGGAAUUCCUAGUAAUAUUUUUUUUGUGAUGKUAACMACCAGAWWUGAAUAUGUCCCUGUCCUUUGUACACACCGCCCGUCGUUSUCUCAAAUGGAUAUUAGGGGGAAAUAUUAAUAUAA
rnacentral:rRNA from 1 species